UAUGACUCUCGGCAAUGGAUAUCUUGGCUCUUGCAUCGAUGAAGAGCGCAGCGAAAUGCGAUACGUGGGUGUGAAUUUGCAGAAUCCCGUGCACCAUCAAAUCUUUGACCCCAAGUUGUGCCUGAGGCCAAUUGGUUAAGGGCACGUCCGCCUGGGCGUCAAGCAUU
rnacentral:rRNA from 1 species